rnacentral:tRNA from 1 species
AAUUUGAUUCCCUAGGAC